AAGAACAAGUUUUGGAAAAGUUAUUAUUAAGAAGAAAAUAGAUUUUUCUUAAAACAGAUAAGGUUCUGGUAUGAAUGUCAAUCUAAUAAGAAAUCUUCACAAAAAUUUUGCAUUACAUUGGUGUAAUCAUCCUUCAAUUUACAGAGAUAGGAAUUUGGGGAUUGUAGAGUUUUUAUUUACCUAAGAAGAAUUCAGCAAUAUCUUUGUUGAAUUGUUUCAUAUGUUUUUCUCAAAUGAUAUCUAAUUUUUUAUUUAAGAGUUCAUUGUAAUCCAACCACCAACUUUGUCCAGAAAGGCACACAAGAACCUCACUAUUUGGAAGUGACAUACGUAGGCUAAAACAUACUUCAUGAGAGGAUUUCUUUGAAUU